AUACAUGCAAGUCGAGCGGACAGAUGGGAGCUUGCUCCCUGAUGUUAGCGGCGGACGGGUGAGUAACACGUGGGUAACCUGCCUGUAAGACUGGGAUAACUCCGGGAAACCGGGGCUAAUACCGGAUGGUUGUUUGAACCGCAUGGUUCAGACAUAAAAGGUGGCUUCGGCUACCACUUACAGAUGGACCCGCGGCGCAUUAGCUAGUUGGUGAGGUAACGGCUCACCAAGGCGACGAUGCGUAGCCGACCUGAGAGGGUGAUCGGCCACACUGGGACUGAGACACGGCCCAGACUCCUACGGGAGGCAGCAGUAGGGAAUCUUCCGCAAUGGACGAAAGUCUGACGGAGCAACGCCGCGUGAGUGAUGAAGGUUUUCGGAUCGUAAAGCUCUGUUGUUAGGGAAGAACAAGUGCCGUUCAAAUAGGGCGGCACCUUGACGGUACCUAACCAGAAAGCCACGGCUAACUACGUGCCAGCAGCCGCGGUAAUACGUAGGUGGCAAGCGUUGUCCGGAAUUAUUGGGCGUAAAGGGCUCGCAGGCGGUUUCUUAAGUCUGAUGUGAAAGCCCCCGGCUCAACCGGGGAGGGUCAUUGGAAACUGGGGAACUUGAGUGCAGAAGAGGAGAGUGGAAUUCCACGUGUAGCGGUGAAAUGCGUAGAGAUGUGGAGGAACACCAGUGGCGAAGGCGACUCUCUGGUCUGUAACUGACGCUGAGGAGCGAAAGCGUGGGGAGCGAACAGGAUUAGAUACCCUGGUAGUCCACGCCGUAAACGAUGAGUGCUAAGUGUUAGGGGGUUUCCGCCCCUUAGUGCUGCAGCUAACGCAUUAAGCACUCCGCCUGGGGAGUACGGUCGCAAGACUGAAACUCAAAGGAAUUGACGGGGGCCCGCACAAGCGGUGGAGCAUGUGGUUUAAUUCGAAGCAACGCGAAGAACCUUACCAGGUCUUGACAUCCUCUGACAAUCCUAGAGAUAGGACGUCCCCUUCGGGGGCAGAGUGACAGGUGGUGCAUGGUUGUCGUCAGCUCGUGUCGUGAGAUGUUGGGUUAAGUCCCGCAACGAGCGCAACCCUUGAUCUUAGUUGCCAGCAUUCAGUUGGGCACUCUAAGGUGACUGCCGGUGACAAACCGGAGGAAGGUGGGGAUGACGUCAAAUCAUCAUGCCCCUUAUGACCUGGGCUACACACGUGCUACAAUGGACAGAACAAAGGGCAGCGAAACCGCGAGGUUAAGCCAAUCCCACAAAUCUGUUCUCAGUUCGGAUCGCAGUCUGCAACUCGACUGCGUGAAGCUGGAAUCGCUAGUAAUCGCGGUUCAGCAUGCCGCGGUGAAUACGUUCCCGGGCCUUGUACACUCCUCCCGUCACACCACGAGAGUUUGUAACACCCGAAGUCGGUGAGGUAACCUUUAUGGAGCCAGCCGCCGAAAGUA
rnacentral:rRNA from 1 species